UGGGGAAUAUUGGACAAUGGGGGAAACCCUGACGCAGCAACGCCGCGUGAGUGAGGAAGGUUUUCGGACCGUAAAGCUCUGUCGAGCGGGAAGAAAUGCAUGGUGGCUAAUAUCCAUCAUGCUUGACGGUACCGCUAAAGGAAGCACCGGCUAACUCCGUGCCAGCAGCCGCGGUAAUACGGGGGUUGCGAGCGUUGUUCGGAAUUAUUGGGCGUAAAGAGCGUGUAGGCGGCUGAAUAAGUCAGAUGUGAAAUCCCUGGGCUUAACCCAGGACGUGCAUUUGAAACUAUUCGGCUAGAGUAGGUGAGAGGAAAGUGGAAUUCCUGGUGUAGAGGUGAAAUUCGUAGAUAUCUGGAGGAAGACCGGUGGCGAAGGCGACUCUCUGGCACUAUACUGACGCUGAGACGCGAGAGCGUGGGUAGCAAACA
rnacentral:rRNA from 1 species